rnacentral:rRNA from 1 species
UACGGAGGGGGCUAGCGUUGUUCGGAAUUACUGGGCGUAAAGGGCGCGUAGGCGGCGCGAUAAGUUGGGCGUGAAAGGCCCAGGCUCAACCCGGGGACUGCGCUUGAUACUGUCGCGCUGUGAGUCCGGGAGAGGAUGGCGGAAUUCCCAGUGUAGAGGUGAAAUUCGUAGAUAUUGGGAAGAACACCGGUGGCGAAGGCGGCCAUCUGGACCGGCACUGACGCUGAGGCGCGAAAGCGUGGGGAGCUAACAGG